CUUUUAUGACCAGGGAAGGUAAAUGUCUCCGUUUACAAUUAAAGUCACUUCCUGGAUAAUUAAGAUUUUAAAACCAGGAGAGGAAAUGUCAGGGUCCAAUGAUUUCAUUCUUUGGCCGAUGAGGUGGUGGCAUCCACACCAGACUUCAAAGCAAGUGGUCCCGGUUUCAAAUCCGGCCGGGUCCUUGCAUGCUUUCCAUCCGUGCUGGGUUGAGCAUCGAGCUAGCAACUCGGCCUCGCGAAAAACAGACGAACGCUAAAGAAACGGCAAGGGCUUGGGGUCGGGGCCGGAGUCGAAGUGCUCAGCAGAGAUGGUGCUCGGUGCUCGGUGUCGAAGAGCUGGUCAGAGGCUUGGAGUUUUUCGGACGGACUCGGAGUCGGACUGUGGUCAGAUGCUUCCACAAUGCUGCAUCGGCAAGUUGGCGGCGCUGGAGGUUUAUCGUCUGCGUGGGAUGAUGGGACUUUCGAGAGACUUUUACUGUGCCAUGGUCUGUUCUUAUCAAAUUACG